CCUACGGGGGGCAGCAGUGGGGAAUAUUGCACAAUGGGGGAAACCCUGAUGCAGCAACGCCGCGUGAGUGAAGAAGUAUUUCGGUAUGUAAAGCUCUAUCAGCAGGGAAGAAAAUGACGGUACCUGACUAAGAAGCACCGGCUAAAUACGUGCCAGCAGCCGCGGUAAUACGUAUGGUGCAAGCGUUAUCCGGAUUUACUGGGUGUAAAGGGAGCGCAGGCGGUGCGGCAAGUCAGAUGUGAAAACCCGGGGCUCAACCCCGGGACUGCAUUUGAAACUGUCGGACUAGAGUGUCGGAGAGGCAA
rnacentral:rRNA from 1 species